UACGGAGGGUGCAAGCGUUAUCCGGAUUCACUGGGUUUAAAGGGUGCGUAGGUGGGAAUGUAAGUCAGUGGUGAAAUCUCUGAGCUUAAGCUCAGAAACUGCCAUUGAUACUAUGUUUCUUGAAUUAUCUGGAGGUCAGCGGAAUAUGUCAUGUAGCGGUGAAAUGCUUAGAUAUGACAUAGAACACCAAUUGCGAAGGCAGCUGGCUACAGGUGGAUUGACACUGAGGCACGAAAGCGUGGGGAUCAAACAGG
rnacentral:rRNA from 1 species